AUUCCAGCUCCAGUAGCGUAUAUUAAAGUUGUUGCAGUUAAAAAGCUCGUAGUUGGAUUUCUGGUUUCACAGAACUGGCCUACUUCCUCAAGGUCGUGUGCGCCGUGUUUUGUGUACCAUCCUUCUAGAAAUUGUGUUCCAUCCCUUCACUGGGAUAGAUCCGAGAUCUAGAUCUUUUACUUUGAAGAAAUUAGAGUGUUCAAAGCAGGCUCGCGCUGUGAAUACAUUAGCAUGGAAUAAUAAUUUAGGACUUGGUAUCCUAUUUUGUUGGUUUUCAGGAUCUAAGUAAUGAUUGAUAGGGAUAGUUGGGGGCGCUAGUAUUUUGCGGCCAGAGGUGAAAUUCUAUGAUUCGCGAAAGACUAACUUAUGCGAAAGCAUUCACCAAGGAUGUCUUCAUCA
rnacentral:rRNA from 1 species